GCAUUAGCAGCUCAUGCUUCAGCGCUCUGCGAGUGUUUAUAGCCCUGUGACUUUAACACUUCAUGACUGAAAGCUGCUGCUCAGCGACUUCACCCACAGCAACCAUGAGUUUGAUCAGCGUCUUCAUCUGCACACUGGCCCUCUGCGCUCGAGGAUCCAGAGGUCAGGUGACUGUGACUCAGAGUCCUGCAGUGAAAUCAGUUUCUCCAGGAGGCACAGUCACCAUCAGCUGUAAAACCAGUACUGAUGUGGAUAAUGAUUGUGGUAGUUAUAGUGAUAAGGGCUGUUUGUCCUGGUAUCAGCAGAAACCUGGAGAAGCUCCUAAACUCCUGAUCUAUUAUGCUGACACUAGAGAAUCAGGUAUUCCAUCACGUUUCAGUGGCAGUGGAUCUGGAUCUGAUUUCACUCUGACCAUCAGUGGAGUCCAGACUGAAGAUGCUGGAGAUUAUUACUGUCAAAGUGCACAUUAUAUCAGUAGUAGCUGGGUGUUGACACAGUGUUAGAGCGUCGUACAAAAACCUGUGUGAGUGUGACUGCUGCAGCUGGGACCUACUGCAGGUGCUAAGGGACACACACACACACACACACACACACACACACACACACACUACAGUAAGUAGACACAGUACACAUAAACAUUUACACGUGUAUGAAUUUCAAUUUUUUCAAACAAAACAUUUCAGUUAUUAAAAUAUUCAGUUUUCAUCAACCUUCAGUUCGUCUACAUACAAAACAAUCAUCUAAAAUCAAACACAGAAAUCCCCUGAGGAGUUUCCCCCUAAAAUACGUUACUCUGCCCCUGUGGAGUUCCACCUCAUAUUCACAGAAAAGCAUGAGGACACGACUCAUUUAAUAAACAUGUUACAGUUUUUCUCAAUUGCUAAAACACAAUUUCUGAAACCUUGCUCCAUUUUCUGAAACCAUUAAAUGCAAAACCUUAUCUUCAAGCAUUAUUUACCAAACCUCUGACUCCUCUUGCAAAAUGAAACUUUCGCCUAAAAACAGUUUUACCUGUGUUCAAAAUGAAACACUGCUCUCAAAUUAAAAACAAAGUGAUCAAAAUGAUAUACACUAUCAAGCAGUCAGUAAACAAUAAAACAAAAAACAGAAAACACAUUGUUCAAAACAUUUAGUUCUCAGGCAGAAGCAAAUUUUUAAUCUCAACGUUUUGGGCCAUACAAUUUGUUCAUUGUACAGUAAACAACAUACAAUGCACUGUACUACAGUAUACAAUACUAAAAGGGACAAAAAUCAAAGAAGUAAACUUGAUCAAUUUGCUUCUUCUCGUCUUUGGGCUGGGUCAGGCCAGAGCACUUCGUCAACAUCACAAGCAAUAUUGUCCCUUCUGAGGCAACGGAGGACAGAAGCCUCUUGUGUGCCGUAUCCAGCCCUGACAUGAUUCCUCCCCUAUAUCACCAC